AUCGCCGCUGCCAACCUACCUAUCGCUGCCAACCUACCUAUCGCUGCCAAUCUACCUAUCGCUGCCAACCUACCUACUGCUGCCAAUCUAUCUAUCGCUGCUAAUCUAUCGCUGCUAAUCUAUCGCUGCUAAUCUAUCGCUGCUAAUCUAUCGCUGCUAAUCUAUCGCUGCUAAUCUAUCGCUGCUAAUCUAUCACUGCCAACCUACCUACUGCUGCCAACCUACCUACCGCUGCCAACCUAUCUACCGCUGCCAACCUAUCUAUCGCUGCUAAUCUAUCACUGCUAAUCUAUCGCUGCCAACCUACCUACCACUGCCAACCUAUCUAUCACUGCUAAUCUAUCACUGCUAAUCUAUCGCUGCUAAUCUAUCGCUGCUAAUCUAUCGCUGCUAAUCUAUCGCUGCUAAUCUAUCACUGCCAACCUACCUACCGCUGCCAACCUACCUACCGCUGCCAACCUACCUACCGCUGCCAACCUACCUACCGCUGCCAACCUAUCUAUCGCUGCUAAUCUAUCGCUGCUAAUCUAUUGCUGCUAAUCUAUCACUGCCAACCUACCUACUGCUGCCAACCUACCUACCGCUGCCAACCUACCUACCGCUGCCAACCUAUCUAUUGCUGCCAAUCUAUAUAGGGUAAAUCAUGGUCCCAUUUGGUCCCAUUUUGUAAAAUGGGACCAAAUGGAACCAGAAUCACUAAUUUAUUAGUAAAACAUGAUCUGGGACUAGAUUUAUAAUAUAAACAGUGUAAAGUGACUAAUUUGCUAAACACUAUAUGGGACCAGAACUAAGAUAUCUAAUAAUAAGACUGAGGAAAAAUUUGAUUCUAGUCCCAUACAUGGUCACACAGCCAGUCUAAAUAAUUGAAUCAAAAAUUAAAAAUGAUAUUUCUGUGGCAUAGUAUUAUAUUAUAGAAUGUUAGUUUACCACUUAACAACUCAAAAAUACCAUGAUCUAACUAGAUAUCUAUAUCAAAAACUUGUUUUAAAAUUAUC
rnacentral:sRNA from 2 species